GUAGGUGGCGAGCGUUGUCCGGAUUUACUGGGCGUAAAGCGCGCGCAGGCGGGCUGAUCAGUCCGGGGUGAAAUCUCACGGCUCAACUGUGAGGAGUCCCCGGAUACUGCCAGCCUUGAGGUACCUAGAGGAGAGUGGAAUUCCCGGUGUAGUGGUGGAAUGCGUAGAUAUCGGGAGGAACACCAGUGGCGAAAGCGGCUCUCUGGGGGUUACCUGACGCUGAGGCGCGAAAGCGUGGGGGAGCGAACCGGAUUAGAUACCCGGGUAGUCCACGCCGUAAACGAUGAGCACUAGCUGUCGGGGGUAUCGACCCCCUCGGUAGCGUAGCUAACGCGUUAAGUGCUCCGCCUGGGGACUACGGCCGCAAGGCUA
rnacentral:rRNA from 1 species